rnacentral:rRNA from 1 species
UACAGGGGGUGCAAACGUUGCUCGGAAUUAUUGGGCGUAAAGCGCACGUAGGCGGUUUGUUAUGUCGGAUGUGAAAGCCCUUGGCUCAACUGAGGAAGUGCAUCCGAAACUGGCAAGCUAGAGUAUGUAAGAGGGUCGCGGAAUUCCCGGUGUAGAGGUGAAAUUCGUAGAGAUCCGGAAGAACACCGGUGGCGAAGGCGGCCUGCUGGGCAGUUGCUGACACUGAGGCGCGACAGCGUGGGGAGCAAACAGG